rnacentral:rRNA from 1 species
AGAGUUUGAUCAUGGCUCAGAUUGAACGCUGGCGGCAUGCCUUACACAUGCAAGUCGAACGCGAAAGGGGGCAACCCCGAGUAGAGUGGCGAACGGGUGAGUAAUGCAUCGGAACAUUUCCUGUAGCGGGGGACAACCUCGAGAAAUCGAGGCUAAUACCGCAUACGAUCUUCGGAUGAAAGUGGGGGACCGCAAGGCCUCACACUAUAGGAGUGGCCGAUGCCGGAUUAGCUAGUUGGCGGGGUAAAAGCCCACCAAGGCGACGAUCCGUAGCUGGUCUGAGAGGACGACCAGCCACACUGGGACUGAGACACGGCCCAGACUCCUACGGGAGGCAGCAGUGGGGAAUUUUGGACAAUGGGCGCAAGCCUGAUCCAGCCAUGCCGCGUGAGUGAAGAAGGCCUUCGGGUUGUAAAGCUCUUUCGGCCGGGACGAAAUCGCGCGGGCGAAUAUCCCGCGUGGAUGACGGUACCGGAAGAAGAAGGACCGGCUAACUACGUGCCAGCAGCCGCGGUAAUACGUAGGGUCCGAGCGUUAAUCGGAAUUACUGGGCGUAAAGCGUGCGCAGGCGGUUCGCAAAGACAGGUGUGAAAUCCCCGGGCUUAACCUGGGAACUGCGCUUGUAACUAGCGGGCUAGAGUGCGGCAGAGGGGGGUGGAAUUCCACGUGUAGCAGUGAAAUGCGUAGAGAUGUGGAGGAACACCGAUGGCGAAGGCAGCCCCCUGGGCUAGCACUGACGCUCAUGCACAAAAGCGUGGGGAGCAAACAGGAUUAGAUACCCUAGUAGUCC